AUCAGAUGUCUCAUUUAAUUUACUAUAUAUUCAUUUAUAAAUGAAAGUACUAGUUUCUGUCUUUGUGGGUAAGGUAACGUACUGUACCAACAUUGAGAAGGGAGACCACUCCAUUUCUGAACUUGGAUUGCAUUAUAAAGUAUGGGUUUUUUUAAUUUAACAAAAAGACUUAGUAUUCUAAUUAUAUAGUUUUUUAAUUUAAAAAGACUAAUAUGUCAUGCUAGUGAUCAGAAAUUCUACAGAAAUCCUAGAGCAACUUUUCUGCACUGGUUAUAUUAAGCAUUGAGACAGGAGGCUUUCCCCAAGCUGGAUGACUCCUGUCACUGCUUCACCACUGAGUUGGUGAGAUGCUGUAAUACUUUUAAUUUUCCCAAAGUGGUCUCCAAAAUAAGUGAUUGAAAACUAGCUAUUGGUGGCACUUUAACCUCUUAAAAAUAUUUACCAGAUUAUAUAAACAUGGGAUACAGUGUAAAAAUAGCAUCAUGAGUCAUCAGAUUGGUACAGUUUUCCAUGCAAAGGAGAUGAGCCAAAUUCUAGUAUUGUUUCUAUUGUGUGAACCUAGUGGGCGGUUCACACGUGUGGAACUACUGCGGAGGCACAACCCCGCCUCUUGUCCUUGAGGUAGCUGCAUUCCAUCUGACCCUGACAGCAUCUCUUUUCCUCCAACAUUUUUGUAAUGUUAGCCAUUUGUCCUAUGAGAAAUAUGGUCAAGACCAAACAAUUCAGGAUACAGUUUCACAGAAAUGUAGGGUUGUGUGGAAUAACUGGCCGAAGGCCACAGAAGUAAACUUUCUAUGUUUUGCUUCUGAAUUUCAAAAGGAUGGGUUUCUUAAUGUUUACAAAUUAAGGCACAUUUGUAUGUCUGAUAUUAAUUAGACUACUACAUUUUAAUAUGGUUUUACCAAAAGAAAGUAGAAUUAGGUGUAUUUUAAGAUAUAAGCCAGUCUUUUUUAAAACUUGAGCAUCUGGAGGUAGGUGUUUUUAUUGACAAAGAAAAAUGAACUUAAUUGGAUAAUCUCUCCCCAUCUGCUACUUUGCUAUAUGGCUUGCUGUAUUGGAGUGUAAACAGUUCAGUGUUAAUCAUAUCAGAAGACAUUUUUACAUCCUCAUCAAUUUAUAAAAUUUACCAAAGAAAAUGUUUCUGAUAAAUCCUUUUUAAAGCAUUAAGGAAUGUACCCCUCUUUGAUGUAGUGAUUGCUUUCUAACCCUGAGGGAAACAAAUAUUAAUAUAUUAUUUGAACUAAAAAACACAUAGGGUAAAUAGACAAUGUCCUGUUUUUCCCUACAUCAGUAAGAUGUCAGUACUCCACUGAAAGUACCAUUUAAAGAAUAAGUCUUAAUUUUAUUCCUUAGGACAUUUUUAUUAAAAUUAAGGAUUUUGCGUAUCAGUAUUGAAUAUAAAGGGGGAAACUCCUGAAGAUGGUAUAUUGUAUAUUAUGGGUUGUCUAGGGAAAAUUAUUGAAAGGUACCCCUCAAUGGACAGUGGCAUUUAUUUCUAGUAUAAUCGUAGCUAAAUUGACAUGGUUAGGUUAGUUUGCAUUUAUGUCUGUGUUCACUCUUGACUACUUUUUGUCUUUGCAUAUGAUUGGGUUAAAGGAAGCCAAAAUAACUGCUUUAAAAUAUGUCGGCCAAAAAGAUCUAAAGGGUUUAAGCUGUUUAAUGAUCUCUUAAAUAACGAAUUAUAGUUGUUUUUUAACUAUUUCGAACAAGUUCUUUAAUUUUUUAAUACCACAUUAUAGUUAAUAAGUACUUAACUGGUGUGUGGUGGUACAUGCCUGUAAUCCCAGCACUUGGAGGCAGAGGUAGACUGAUCUCUGAGUUCAAGGCCAGGCUGGUCUAUAGAGUGAGUUCCAGGACAGCCAAGGCUACACAGUUAGACCCUGUCUCAAAACAACAGACAGACAGACAGACAGACAAACAAAAAUGUAUUGUUCUUGGGAAAAGAAGAUUGGCCUUCAAAUAAUGACUGAUAAUGGUUUUUAUUUUUAAUUUUAUUAUCUGAAUACAGUAUAAAGAUAUGUUCUGUGUGAUGUUAAAAAUAUUAGUAUGAGGUUUAUCGUGUAUUUUACACUGGAUCUUUUUGGUUCUUCUAAAAACUAGGCUGGCUUUACAUUCAGUUU
rnacentral:lncRNA from 1 species